CGGGGCGUAGCGCAGCCUGGUAGCGCACCAGCAUGGGGUGCUGGGGGUCGUGAGUUCGAAUCUCACCGUCCCGACCA
rnacentral:tRNA from 1 species